CCUACGGGAGGCUGCAGUGGGGAAUAUUGGACAAUGGGGGCAACCCUGAUCCAGCCAUGCCGCGUGUGUGAAGAAGGCCCUCGGGUUGUAAAGCACUUUCAGUGAGGAAGAACGCCUGGUGGUUAAUACCCAUCAGGAAAGACAUCACUCACAGAAGAAGCACCGGCUAACUCCGUGCCAGCAGCCGCGGUAAUACGGAGGGUGCGAGCGUUAAUCGGAAUUACUGGGCGUAAAGCGCGCGUAGGUGGCUUGAUAAGCCGGUUGUGAAAGCCCCGGGCUCAACCUGGGAACGGCAUCCGGAACUGUCAAGCUAGGGUGCAGGAGAGGAAGGUAGAAUUCCCGGUGUAGCGGUGAAAUGCGUAGAGAUCGGGAGGAAUACCAGUGGCGAAGGCGGCCUUCUGGACUGACACUGACACUGAGGUGCGAAAGCGUGGGUAGCAAACAGGAUUAGAUACCCCAGUAGUC
rnacentral:rRNA from 1 species